UACGUAGGGACCGAGCGUUGUCCGGAAUCAUUGGGCGUAAAGAGCGUGUAGGCGGCUUGCUAAGUCUUGCGUGAAAUCUCGGGGCUCAACCCCGAGCGGUCGUGGGAAACUGGCAGGCUAGAGUGCGGGAGAGGAGAAUGGAAUUCCUGGUGUAGCGGUGAAAUGCGUAGAUAUCUGAAGGAACAUCAGUGGCGAAAGCGACUUCCUGGACCAAUACUGACGCUCAUGUGCGAAAGCGUGGGGAGCAAACAGG
rnacentral:rRNA from 1 species